CAACAGACCCUGAAGUCCAGUGCUUUUGGCUAACUCUGGGAUUUACCUGCAUCCUGGCUGAAUAUCUGUCAAGUGUAACAGGACUUUGGAGGAGAUUGCAGAUAAUUUCUGGACUUGCACAGUGGACCACAACAUGCUAUAUAGAUGAUUCAUGGGCUGGAGACUUUCUGCACAUGCAGGGUCCAAGGAGUCGCAGCGGAUUUAAAGGUCAUUUGAAAUGCAGCCUUUUGCUCUUUGACAGCCCUUUCAAUAUCAGCCUCCAGUUCUGUUUUACAAAGUCAUCAUUAUUAACUGCGUCUGUGGCUACUGCUAUUUUCCUGGGUUUGCAGAGAAACCUGAGAUACUAA
rnacentral:lncRNA from 1 species